GGCCUUCUGGGUUGUAAACUGCUUUUGUCAGGGGAUAAAAAGCUCGUGCGCGAGAAAUUGAAUGUACCUGGCGAAUAAGCCACGGCUAACUACGUGCCAGCAGCCGCGGUAAUACGUAGGUGGCAAGCGUUGUCCGGAUUUAUUGGGUUUAAAGGGUGCGUAGGCGGUCCUGUAAGUCAGUGGUGAAAUACGGCAGCUCAACUGUCGAGGUGCCAUUGAUACUGCGGGACUUGAGUGUUGAUGAGGUAGGCGGAAUUGACGGUGUAGCCGGUGAAAUGCUUAGAUAUCGUCAAGAACACCCGAUAGCGANGGCAGCUUACCAAGCAACAANCUGACGCUGAGGCACGNAAGNUUNGGGGAUCAANCAGGAUUAGAAACCCCUGGUAGUCC
rnacentral:rRNA from 1 species